CAAGGUGAUGUGGCACCUCUCUAUGGCCACCAUUGGUAUUUAUCUUUUUUGUCAAUUUUUUGACAUUUUACCUCAUUUUUCUAAUUAAAAUGAAAUAUAAUCAUGAAAAAAAAAUUCAAUUCAAGCAUUAAAAGGUUACUUAUUGCAAUUAGAUGCUCAAUGUUCAAUUCUUUAAUCAUGGAGAAAAAGGAACGCAUACCGUCUCCAUUUUGGGGCAAUACUGAUAUGGCCUUUUCUUCCAAUUUUUUAGUAUAAUAGCUCUCAUUAAUCACUGCCUUAACUUGACCAACUCAACACUAUUCUAAUAUGCAUAAUUAACCUGAUGAAUAUGAAGAAAAGAAACGGCAAAUAUCAAAACAUAAGCUUUUAAUUACAAUAAUUAUAAUAAAUCCAUCAAACAUGUGGCAGAGAUUAUGGAGGAGAAGAAGAGUUGUGCAAGUUAUGGAGGUUGGCUAUAUAUCAGCUUGUAAAAUUGUUGCGUCUCGGAUGUAGCAUCUAAAGGAAAUUCUCAACACCCAGCAACAAUGACUUCAAACUUUCUUUUGUUUUCGCAUGUUGAAUUAAUUAAAUAUAUAUCUUAUGAUCUUACUUCAAAGAUACAACACCAUCUUCUCCAUAUUUUUACAGCUUCAUUGGUGGCUUUUUUGCAGCCAUGAAAACAGAACAAAAAUUAUCAGGAAAAUCGAAGGUCAAAACCAACGAAAUAAAACCGAAUUUGACAAUAUCGGAAAAGAAUGGUUUGGAAGAUAAACCGAUAGAAUCCGUCAAAAAAUCCUGAACUCCAGUGUAACUUCCGUCUUUGGUCAGUGUCUUUUUCAAGAUCGGAGGAGAUCCUUGGGAGUGGACGUGGUUUAAACCGAGGGAGACCAUCGGUUGUCUAAAUAUAUAAAUUCCGGUUUGUAUAUGAUAAAAAAUAUAUUUAUAUACAAUGUUUUUUAGUAUAAUAUGUUUAUAUAGGUGGGGGUUAUGUAACUGUAUAUUCUUGAAUGAAUACUAAUAAGUUGAUGUCAACUUCUUUCCUGCAAUCUUCAUGGACUAAAGUGGUAGUACGAAGAUGAUUGACUAUGAGGAAUAAAUGGGAGGAACUUCAUUCAGAUCGCAUAUUCGAUGGUUUGUUGAUUUUUAUUGAUGAAAUAAAUCAAUAGUAACGGGCAGAGGAGAAAGAAGAGGAAUAGUUGCUUUAUGUAUAUGCGGUUAUAAUGUUUUUUAUAUUAGUUAUACCAGGAGCUAGGUCAAACAAAAUAAAUA